rnacentral:lncRNA from 1 species
GUCGAUCACUUGGUGACCAUCCUUUGUCUUGGCAUUCGUCAGAUUAUCCAUCUUCAGGUUCGUUCAUCAGCAUCACUGUUCGGAGUAGGUCGUGCUUUACGACAUCUUGGGUCGGCUUGGUUCGUCCUCCGCAUCACGUGAUUAACAAGCGUACCUAAUUGAAAUGCAUGAUGCACAUGAAUGCAUAUAGACAUGAAUAGUACAAGACUAAAUAUUGCUACAUGACAGCGAAUUAAAAACCUAGUGACGAAGCGUCGUACCAUUUCAUAUGAAAACACUAGUAUCGACAUAAGACUAAGUGCAAUAGCCGUGCCUUUCUAGUUUAACCAAAUCUCAUUCAAACAUCAUAGAGUUCUACAAAACGACCUUCUAAACAACCAAAGAUCUAUCCCGCUUAUGCGCACUCUCCACUAAUAGUCCUCGGGUUUUCACAGGAAUAGACUUAUCAAUGUUCUUCGCUUCCUAAAUAUUUUGUGUAACAACCAUUAUAUAUUUAUAACACUUAACCAGUCAACAAACAUAGAGUUUUUCACAAGAUCAUAAUUUAGAUCCUAAAGAGUUAAAUCAUUAAGGUGUAAAGUCUACUAUGUAGUUUUCAGAAUUCACCUAAAGCGAACCUUAUGGUGAUACUUGCUCUAAACUAAUUAAAAUAUUGAUGAACAUUUAUUCAUGACAAUUUACUUAUGUGACCAAAUUCAAAUAUGACAUUUAACGGAUCGAUAAACAUGGAAUUCGACAACUACUAAGGUAAUGCAUCAUCCCACCACUUAAUUAAAAUUAGCAUAAUCAAUUUUUAAAAGAACCUAUUGACUAGUCGUUAGAGACACUAGACCUAUUCCUCAUAUUAUUACUUCGACCACUCAUCGGAUAAGAAACACUGAUUUAAUCCUUCCCGUUCAACCUAUGUCGUUAAACCUAAACUUAGCUACGUAGCACGACGACUUCGCAACCGUGGACACAAUUACCAUGAUACAUGUAGCCCCGUAUUCCUACAAGCGUCAAAUAAAUACGUGCCUAAGCUACAAGCGGAAUAAUCGUCACGACAUACAUACCUAUCAAUCCAUCCAUCAAACCAGUCAAUAAGAAUAGCAAAUCAGCUCACCGUUCCAAUAUCUGACUCGAAUCUGCGAGAUUGGUAAUGAUUUUCCGAUCCGGUCAAUUUGUCGAUCGCUUGGCAGGUACUAAACGAACUUCACGCACACCACCAUCCAACAUUCAACAAAUUUCUCCAUAACUGGCUAUGACCUUUCCUUCUGUAUCUUCACGCCACACACCACAUGACGAACUCUCAACACCGAUCAGACUUAAUCCGAGUACCCGGCGAAAUUAAACUCAGCUCGCAGCCGAUGUCGCG